GAUGAAGAACGUAGCGAAAUGCGAUAAGUAAUGUGAAUUGCAGAAUUCAGUGAAUCAUCGAAUCUUUGAACGCACCUUGCGCCCUUUGGCUAUUCCGAAGGGUAUGCUCGUUUGAGUGUCAUUGUACUCUCACUCUCCCGAUCUUUGGAUCGGGAGUGGUGGACUUGGGUGUUGCUGCUUUACCGUGGCUCACCUCAAAUGGAUUCGUGCAACUCCUGGUUGGACAUAGUACGGCGUGAUAAGUGUCUUCGCCGGCACCUCACUAGAGGGUGGCUGACCGGGAGCUCUGUGCUUCAAACCGUCUUCGGACAACAACUGACAACUUGACCUCAAAUCGAGUAGGACCACCCGCUGAACUUAAGCAUAUCAAUAAGCGGAGGA
rnacentral:misc_RNA from 1 species